rnacentral:tRNA from 1 species
UAAAAAAAAUUUUAUUAUAUCAAUCAAUUUAUAAUUUUAUAUAAAAAUUGA